rnacentral:rRNA from 1 species
GUUUGAGAAUAUUGAGUCCACAUGACGGUACCCAAGGAGGAAGCCCCGGCUAACUACGUGCCAGCAGCCGCGGUAAUACGUAGGGGGCAAGCGUUGUCCGGAAUUAUUGGGCGUAAAGGGCGCGUAGGCGGAUGCUUAAGUCCGGUGUGAAAGAUCAGGGCUCAACCCUGAGAGUGCAUCGGAAACUGGGUAUCUUGAGGACAGGAGAGGAAAGUGGAAUUCCACGUGUAGCGGUGAAAUGCGUAGAUAUGUGGAGGAACACCAGUGGCGAAGGCGACUUUCUGGACUGUAACUGACGCUGAGGCGCGAAAGCGUGGGGAGCAAACAGGAUUAGAUACCCUGGUAGUCCACGCCGUAAACGAUGAGUGCUAGGUGUAGAGGGUAUCGACCCCUUCUGUGCCGCAGUUAACACAAUAAGCACUCCGCCUGGGGAGUACGGCCGCAAGGUUGAAACUCAAAUGAAUUGAC